UGUACUGUAAAGAAGCU
rnacentral:miRNA from 1 species